rnacentral:rRNA from 1 species
GACGAACGCUGGCGGCGUGCUUAACACAUGCAAGUCGAACGCUGAAGCCCUGGCUUUUGUUGGGUUGGAUGAGUGGCGAACGGGUGAGUAACACGUGAGUAACCUGCCCUCUUCUUUGGGAUAACGCCCGGAAACGGGUGCUAAUACUGGAUUUUCACUGAUCUUCGCAUGGGGGUUGGUGGAAAGGUUUGUUCUGGUGGGGGAUGGGCUCGCGGCCUAUCAGCUUGUUGGUGGGGUGAUGGCCUACCAAGGCUUUGACGGGUAGCCGGCCUGAGAGGGUGACCGGUCACAUUGGGACUGAGAUACGGCCCAGACUCCUACGGGAGGCAGCAGUGGGGAAUAUUGCACAAUGGGCGAAAGCCUGAUGCAGCGACGCCGCGUGAGGGAUGGAGGCCUUCGGGUUGUAAACCUCUUUCGCUCAUGGUCAAGCCGCAACUGUGGGUUGUGGUGAGGGUAGUGGGUAAAGAAGCGCCGGCUAACUACGUG